AAUUAGUAUAAAGUACACUAAAUUUUGAUUUUAGAGGGGCAAGUUUAAUUUUGUAUUAAUAA
rnacentral:tRNA from 1 species